UACAGAGGUCCCAAGCGUUGUUCGGAUUCAUUGGGCGUAAAGGGUGUGUAGGCGGCGCCGUAAGUCAGGUGUGAAAUCUCGGGGCUUAACUCCGAAACUGCAUUUGAUACUGCGGUGCUUGAGGACUGGAGAGGAGACUGGAAUUUACGGUGUAGCAGUGAAAUGCGUAGAUAUCGUAAGGAAGACCAGUGGCGAAGGCGAAUCUCUGGACAGUUACUGACACUGAGGCACGAAGGCCAGGGGAGCAAACGGG
rnacentral:rRNA from 1 species